GUGAAUCAUCGAAUCUUUGAACGCAAAUUGCGCUUCCUGGUAUUCCGGGGAGUAUGCCUGUUUGAGGGUCGUUAGUAACAAAAUCGCAGCGUGGUUCUUUUUUUUAAGGGUGAUGGAGUCGGAAUUGUGCUGUCUUUUAUAUGUUAAUUGAUGUCAAUGGGGCUUUAAAUUGAUUUUUCAGGUAUG
rnacentral:misc_RNA from 1 species